rnacentral:rRNA from 1 species
GGACUACAAGGGUUUCUAAUCCUGUUUGCUCCCCACGCUUUCGCGUCUUAGCGUCAGAAACCGUCCAGAUAGCCGCCUUCGCCACUGGUGUUCUUCCCAAUCUCUACGUAUUUCACCACUACACUGGGAAUUCCACUAUCCUCUCCGGUCCUCUAGCCACCAAGUAUCGAGUGCCAUUCUUGAGUUGAGCUCAAGGCUUUCACACCCGACUUUGGCAGCCGCCUACACGCGCUUUACGCCCAGUAAUUCCGAACAACGCUAGCCCCCUUCGUCUUACCGCGGCGGCUGGCAC